rnacentral:rRNA from 1 species
UGGGGGAUAUUGCACAAUGGGCGAAAGCCUGAUGCAGCGACGCCGCGUGGGGGAUGAAGGCCUUCGGGUUGUAAACUUCUUUUGCUCUGAACAAGGCAUGCUAAUGGGUGUGUUGAGUGUAGGGGUUGAUUAGCGCCGGCUAACUACGUGCCAGCAGCCGCGGUAAUACGUAGGGCGCGAGCGUUUUCCGGAAUUAUUGGGCGUAAAGGGCUUGUAGGUGGCUGGUUGCGUCUGUCGUGAAAGCUCAUGGCUUAACUGUGGGUUUGCGGUGGGUACGGGCUGGCUGGAGUGCAGUAGGGGGGGCUGGAAUUCCUAGUGUAGCGGUGGGAUGCGCAGAUAUCUGGGGGGAUACCGAUGGCGAAGGCGGGUCUCUGGGCUGUUACUGACACUGAGGGGCGAAAGCAUGGGUAGCGAGCAGG